GAGCGAACAGAUAAGGAGCUUGCUCCUUUGACGUUAGCGGCGGACGGGUGAGUAACACGUGGAUAACCUACCUAUAAGACUGGGAUAACUUCGGGAAACCGGAGCUAAUACCGGAUAACAUAUUGAACCGCAUGGUUCAAUAGUGAAAGGCGGCUUUGCUGUCACUUAUAGAUGGAUCCGCGCCGUAUUAGCUAGUUGGUAAGGUAACGGCUUACCAAGGCAACGAUACGUAGCCGACCUGAGAGGGUGAUCGGCCACACUGGAACUGAGACACGGUCCAGACUCCUACGGGAGGCAGCAGUAGGGAAUCUUCCGCAAUGGGCGAAAGCCUGACGGAGCAACGCCGCGUGAGUGAUGAAGGUCUUCGGAUCGUAAAACUCUGUUAUCAGGGAAGAACAAAUGUGUAAGUAACUGUGCACAUCUUGACGGUACCUGAUCAGAAAGCCACGGCUAACUACGUGCCAGCAGCCGCGGUAAUACGUAGGUGGCAAGCGUUAUCCGGAAUUAUUGGGCGUAAAGCGCGCGUAGGCGGUUUUUUAAGUCUGAUGUGAAAGCCCACGGCUCAACCGUGGAGGGUCAUUGGAAACUGAAAAACUUGAGUGCAGAAGAGGAAAGUGGAAUUCCAUGUGUAGCGGUGAAAUGCGCAGAGAUAUGGAGGAACACCAGUGGCGAAGGCGACUUUCUGGUCUGUAACUGACGCUGAUGUGCGAAAGCGUGGGGAUCAAACAGGAUUAGAUACCCUGGUAGUCCACGCCGUAAACGAUGAGUGCUAAGUGUUAGGGGGUUUCCGCCCCUUAGUGCUGCAGCUAACGCAUUAAGCACUCCGCCUGGGGAGUACGACCGCAAGGUUGAAACUCAAAGGAAUUGACGGGGACCCGCACAAGCGGUGGAGCAUGUGGUUUAAUU
rnacentral:rRNA from 1 species